rnacentral:rRNA from 1 species
GUGGGGAAUAUUGGACAAUGGGCGAAAGCCUGAUCCAGCCAUGCCGCGUGUGUGAAGAAGGUCUUCGGAUUGUAAAGCACUUUAAGUUGGGAGGAAGGGCAGUAAGUUAAUACCUUGCUGUUUUGACGUUACCGACAGAAUAAGCACCGGCUAACUUCGUGCCAGCAGCCGCGGUAAUACGAAGGGUGCAAGCGGUAAUCGGAAUUACUGGGCGUAAAGAGCGCGUAGGUGGUUUUGUAAGUUGGAGGUGAAAUCCCCGGGCUCAACCUGGGAACUGACUCCAAAACUGCAUGACUAGAGUACGGUAGAGGGUAGUGGAAUUUCCUGUGUAGCGGUGAAAUGCGUAGAUAUAGGAAGGAACACCAGUGGCGAAGGCGACUACCUGGACUGAUACUGACACUGAGGUGCGAAAGCGUGGGGAGCAAACAGGAUUAGAUACCCCGGUAGUCC